CGUGCACUGGUGGGGUCCCUCUGCCUGGCCUGCACGCUCUCACAGUCUGGGACUCCUCAGGGAAUUUCAGAGAGCCUGUUUAGGCCUGAUCCUUGCAGGCCAGGCCGAGGGGCCCCACCAGUGCACA
rnacentral:pre_miRNA from 1 species